UAUAUAGAAUACCACAACCAUUGAGUGCUAUGGCCAAUUGAAAUCCAAUCUCCCGGAAGUUGAGCUGCAGUUUGUUCUCCUCCUAGAGGAGCAAACUGUCCAAAAUGCUUGUACCUUGAAGAUUGAUGAAGUUGUUGAUGUCUAUGUGGUUUGAUUAAGUAAAUGAAAGGGCGAAUUGAAGCAUCUUGAAUUGGUACCUGAAGGGAUGAAAGCGAUGGCGUCCGGUUCCCCUGAAUCUAAGAGGACCUUCCGGAUACCGCUCGCAUAUCUCCAUACGGUUGAAACAAUCUGCAAGAUACGCUCCUUGCUGAGCAGCUACCUAUAAUUUCUUCAAAUUUGUAAGUAACAUCAUUGGGUUUUCAGAACCUUAUAUAUUUACAGAGAAGCUCUUUUGAUUUAUAAGGGAAGCGAGUAGAAUUUACCUGAGCUGUUGGAGGGAGAUUUUUCAUCUGAGUAUCAACAUUGGAAAGUGCAGAUUUGAAGGAUUCAAUGUCAACAGUAACUGAGCUCUCUUGAGAAAACUUGAGCAAGGAAGCGACAAACCUGGCCAACUUGUUUCAUAAAUUCAAUUAUUUCUGGUCGAGGACCGACGCCGGUGGACCAAACUACCAUUCCAUGAGGUAUGGAAGCAACUUGACCGCUUACUCUGUCUUUGGCCGAGAUUUCUCUCUCACUUACUUUGAUAACCAUAGAUCCUAACUUCACAUCUAUGCCAUCCCUUUUGAACUUUGUUUCAGCAAAUUCUGUGAUUCUCUUGUCAAACCUGCAUUAAGUAAAGAAAAUAGAUGUGAUUGGAAGAAAACAAUGUAAGGAAUAGGAAAAGAAAGAAAAUGUUACAUGUUUAAGAUAUGAUCUCCGGCCUCCAGCAAAGUGAUAUUGACAUAACGUUGUAGAGAAGGAUAGAGUUUAGAAAGAUCCUCAUGAACAAAGUCAUGAAGUUCUGCAGCAAACUCUACCCCAGUUGGGCCUCCUCCAACAAUCACAAAACUCAGAAGCUUCUUCUUCUCUUCAUCAGAUAUGGAUGGAAUGCUUGCUUUCUCAAAAAGAUCAACCACCUUUUGCCGGAUUCUUAGAGCAUCAUCCACUUCCUUCACAUAUAUUCAAACACUACUACUUUAACACAUUACUCUAACUAUAAAACCUUAUGUACAUGAUUACCAUACCUUCAAGAAGUAAGCAUGUUCCUGAACUCCAGGUGUGUUGAAGGUAUUAGAACGUGCUCCCAUGGCUAUUACAAGGUAAUCAUAAUCAAGGGAAAAAUCUUCAAUCCCACCCAUCUUUUUCUCUGGAUCAGCACGGCAGUAAACUUUCUUGUUCUUCGGGUCGAUCUUAUAGCAUUCAGCUUCACUGAAUUCAAUAUUUACACCACUCUGCGUUGCAAAUUAAAGGAUGCGAUUGUUUAUCAAUUUUGACGCCCCAAUAAAACGUACCCAAAUAGAGUACCUUUCUUGAGAUGUUGCGAAUGGGUUCAACAAUGCUGCGUGCUUCGACAGUGCCACAAGUGACACUUGGCAACAAAGGGGUGAAUGCAAAAUAGUUACGAGGUGAAACAACAUGGAUAUCAUAAGAUGAACUUCUGAUGCUCUUAAGAAAACUGGUUCCUGCCCAACCAGUUCCAAGAAUCACCACUUUCUUUUUUGGGGCUUCUUUCACAUUCUCACUUUGUACCGCUUCACCAUAUGCCACUAGGCCUCCACUACUGCAAACCCCCAAAACAAAAUAAUAUAAUCAUCACAACAAAUAAGAAAUGAUCAUUAAUUGCUAGAGUUGAUCCAUUGUGGUGUUUUGAUC